rnacentral:rRNA from 1 species
GUCUGUGAUGCCCUUAGAUGUUCUGGGCCGCACGCGCGCUACACUGAUGCGUUCAACGAGUAUACAACCUUGAUCGAUAGGUCUGGGUAAUCUUGUGAAUGCGCAUCGUGCUAGGGAUAGACUGUUGCAAUUUUCAGUCUUGAACGAGGAAUUCCUAGUAAACGCAAGUCAUCAGCUUGCAUUGAUUACGUCCCUGCCCUUUGUACACACCGCCCGUCGCACCUACCGAUUGAAUGACUCGGUGAAAAAUUGGGACUGUGGGUCCGCUUGCUUCAUUGCGAGUGGAUUGAUGGGAACUUUUUUAAACCUCGCCAUUUAGAGGAAGGUGAAGUCGUAACAAGGUUUCCGUAGGUGAACCUGCGGAAGGAUCAUUACCACACCUAAAAACUUUCCACGUGAACUGUAUCAACCCAAUAAAUUGGGGGUUUAAUUGGCGGUGGCUGCUGGCAUCUUUUUGUUGGCGGCUGUUGCUGAGCAAGCCCUAUCAUGGCGAACGUUUGGACCUCGGUCUGAACUAGUAGCUUUUAUUUUAAACCCUUUCUUAAUUACUGAAUAUACUGUGGGGACGAAAGUCUCUGCUUUUAACUAGAUAACAACUUUCAGCAGUGGAUGUCUAGGCUCGCACAUCGAUGAAGAACGCUGCGAACUGCGAUACGUAAUGCGAAUUGCAGGAUUCAGUGAGUCAUCGAAAUUUUGAACGCAUAUUGCACUUCCGGGUUAGUCCUGGAAGUAUGCCUGUAUCAGUGUCCGUACAUUAAACUUGGUUUUCUUCUUUCCGUGUAGUCGGGGGAGGAUAUGCCAGAUAUGAAGUGUCUUGCGACUGAUUUUCGGAUCGGCUGCGAGUCCUUUGAAAUGUACAGAACUGUACUUCUCAUGCUCGAAAAGCGUGGCGUUGCUGGUUGUGAAGGCUGUCCGUGUGACCAGUCGGCGAUCGGUUUGUCUGCUGUGGCGUUUAUGGAGGAGUGUUCGAUUCGCGGUAUGAUUGGCUUCGGCUAAACAGGCGCUUAUUGGACGUUCUUCCUGCUAUGGCGGUAUGACUGGUGAACCGUAGUUGUAUGUUGACUUGGCUUUUGAAUCGGCUUAGCUGUGCGAAGUAGAGUGGCAGUUUCGGCUGUCGAGGGUCAACCCAUUUGGGAACUUGUGUUGUGUGGCUUCGGUCGUGCAGCAUCUC